rnacentral:lncRNA from 1 species
UCAAUGCAAAUUGGCCAUAACAAAGGAAUAGGUUCACACCACCCGGUGACAUUCGAAAAUAAAUGCACAAUUGAAAUAAAUAGAGAAUUUAAAUAUAGGAUCAACAUGCUCAAAGGAUUGUGUUUAGGAUCUGUGUGACUUGCCUUGAGCUUCCGCAAACACUUCCGAACCUUGCUCAACGAAAACGCUCUCCUCCGGAACGUCGGAAACUAAAGCGAAAGAACAAAAUUCAACAAAACAGUACAAAAACAAGCAUAAACAGUACAUGUGGAUAUUUUUAACAUGUAGAUCUUGAUUUUAGAAAAAUUUAGCAACUUGAACCACCUGAAACGGAUCUACGGUUAUUUAGUUAUGAUUUUCCGAAGAUUUAAUCUAUUAGAAAAACGAGAAAAAGAAAAACUGAUGACGUCGAUGACGUCAUGAUGACGUCAUCAAUGGCGGCCGAACCAAGAUGACGACCUCGCCGGAGAUAGCGCGACCGGCUGCGGAAUUGGAGGGCAUGUACACAUAGAGGACGACGAGACGAACCCGAUGGUACUCACCAACGCGACGAACGACGACGGAUGACGGCCGGCGACGAAGAAGCAACGGCGGCGGCGGCUUGCACGGUGGCGACGGCUCUACGGGUCACAGGAGAGGACGGGAGAGGGGGCAAACGAAAGAGGAGGACUAGGGGGUGCUUUAUAUAGGCUUGGACUAGAGAGAUCGGACUCCAAACGAGAGGAAUCGAAGCCGGAAAAUCAAAAACUCGGUUUUAGAGAUAAACUCGAAAACGAGUUUGAUUUGGAUAAAAUACCCAACGAUUUGCUCCGAUUCUUGGGGGAAAAGAUAGAGGAGGAUGAGAGGAUCAAAACCCCUCAAAAAUCCGGAGGAAACGGGGUCGGAUUGGAGCGGAUUUGGAGGCAGAAGGCGGCGCAAGGUGGCAGCUCGGGCUCUGUCCAGAGCUGGAAGAUGAACAGUAGCAGAGGGAGGAAAAGUAGACUUUUCCGGCUGGGCUUCAUUUCCUCGGCCCGAUUGAAGGAGGGAGGCAAAACAGACUUUGA